AGUGAACGCUGGCGGUAGGCCUAACACAUGCAAGUCGAACGGCAGCACAGUAAGAGCUCGCUCUUACGGGUGGCGAGUGGCGGACGGGUGAGGAAUACAUCGGAAUCUACUUUUUCGUGGGGGAUAACGUAGGGAAACUUACGCUAAUACCGCAUACGACCUACGGGUGAAAGCAGGGGAUCUUCGGACCUUGCGCGAUUGAAUGAGCCGAUGUCGGAUUAGCUAGUUGGCGGGGUAAAGGCCCACCAAGGCGACGAUCCGUAGCUGGUCUGAGAGGAUGAUCAGCCACACUGGAACUGAGACACAGUCCAGACUCCUACGGGAGGCAGCAGUGGGGAAUAUUGGACAAUGGGCGCAAGCCUGAUCCAGCCAUACCGCGUGGGUGAAGAAGGCCUUCGGGUUGUAAAGCCCUUUUGUUGGGAAAGAAAAGCAGCAGGUUAAUACCCCGCUGUUCUGACGGUACCCAAAGAAUAAGCACCGGCUAACUUCGUG
rnacentral:rRNA from 1 species